UACGUAGGGUGCGAGCGUUAAUCGGAAUUACUGGGCGUAAAGCGUGCGCAGGCGGUAAUGCAAGACAGAUGUGAAAUCCCCGGGCUUAACCUGGGAACUGCAUUUGUGACUGCAUUGCUGGAGUGCGGCAGAGGGGGGAUGGAAUUCCGCGUGUAGCAGUGAAAUGCGUAGAUAUGCGGAGGAACACCGAUGGCGAAGGCAAUCCCCUGGGCCUGCACUGACGCUCAUGCACGAAAGCGUGGG
rnacentral:rRNA from 1 species